CCUACGGGCGGCUGCAGUGGGGAAUAUUGCACAAUGGGCCCAAGCCUGAUGCAGCCAUGCCGCGUGUGUGAAGAAGGCCUUCGGGUUGUAAAGCACUUUCAGCGGGGAGGAAGGCGGUGAGGUUAAUAACCUCAUCGAUUGACGUUACCCGCAGAAGAAGCACCGGCUAACUCCGUGCCAGCAGCCGCGGUAAUACGGAGGGUGCAAGCGUUAAUCGGAAUUACUGGGCGUAAAGCGCACGCAGGCGGUCUGUCAAGUCGGAUGUGAAACCCCCGGGCUCAACCUGGGAACUGCAUUCGAAACUGGCAGGCUAGAGUCUUGUAGAGGGGGGUAGAAUUCCAGGUGUAGCGGUGAAAUGCGUAGAGAUCUGGAGGAAUACCGGUGGCGAAGGCGGCCCCCUGGACAAAGACUGACGCUCAGGUGCGAAAGCGUGGGGAGCAAACAGGAUUAGAUACCCCAGUAGUC
rnacentral:rRNA from 1 species